UCACCGGUCUUUGUUCUUUCACACUUGGCAGAGAGAAAUGUUCCAGAGAACUUCUAGAUGUAAUUCAACUGAGUUUUGUGGCUUUUCCUGAUCGUUCUUAUUCAGGGGAGUCUGACUGUUUCUGCUGAAUCCUGCUGAUUCAUGUUGCUGCUUGGUGUUGGCAUUUGGACUGGACUGUCCGGACUAUGAAGAGUGGACUUGCCCCAAGGAACUAUUUCUAAAAAGGUGGUUAGAAUUGUCAUUCUCUUCUGAAGUGAUGGGCAGUGAUGGAUUGAUCAAAGCAAGUCUUGUGGCUUUGGAGAGUCUCUGGUUGUGCAUCUCUUAGGAGCCCCCUGACCACCGCAUCUUCCCUACUCCACGGGACUCCAAGACCCCUGGUGUUUCAAGCCUUGCUCUGAGGCGAACAAAGACAUCAAGAAAGAAGCACUGGUAGGAGCAGGCAGGGCUGCGGGAGGGAGGCAGCAUGAACUAAGUCAAAAGCAACCAUAACAUCAACAAUCCGACUUUGAAGUUCUAACUACUGAGAGUCAACUUCCUCCUUAACCACGCAAACAGUUGAAGAAGUUGUGAAAUGAAUGAAUAAGUGCGCCGAAGAAAUACAGUAAGAGAGAGCACAUAUGUUAAAGAAAAUAACAGAGUGUCUAGCAUAUGGUAGGUAUGUGAUAAAUAAAUGAUACAGUAGUUUCUUAAUAAAUAGAGGGGAGCUGUUUUCUGCUAAAUAAAAAGCAGGCUUCUGCUUGAAAGCCAUUUGCUAAUGCAUAAUUAUUAUUCCAUUGUAUGAGAGAUUCAGGGUGCAAUUAGUGACUUCAAGUACAAUUUGCUUAUUGGGGCAAGGGCAAGAGGACGGAACGUAGAAAAAUCGUCAUUCUUUUUCAGCACCGAUACUUUGUUAGUGAGAAGAAAAGAAUGCUCCAUCUAUUUGGUAGAUGUUGGUGUUUUUAACCUUUAACUCUAAUCUCCUGUGAGACUUGGCAGAAGAUUUUUUAAUUUUCACUCUUCUGUUUUGAGACCCACAUAUCAAGAAGAUGAAGAAGUAGAAUGUCCUAGGAGACAAAGCCACUUUCCAGUUUAGAGGAAUUGGCCUCCAAGCUGAUCUGAAAGAGCUGCCGAGUGCCUGGCUGUUGUGCCAAAUUGCCUUGACCUGAAACAGUCAUGAGACACUGAGAGACGAGAGAACUCAGGGAAGACAGGAAGCACAGCCAGCCACCUUUUGAUUUUUAUUAAAUGUCCUGUGUUGACAGGCAUCUAAGAAUACCUUCCUCCAGCUAGGAUGUGGGGGUCAGGUACGGUGGGAAUAGAGGGUCAUGGUUGGGGGUUAUGGCUGUCAGGGGGAGCUGGUGAAGAUCUCCAAAACACGUUCAAGGAGUCAUGAGAACAGGCAUGGAGUCUGUAACCUUCCUAAAAUCUGAAAAUGACAGCUUUUAUUUUAUGUUUAAAUAGAAAAAUUGAGCUGACCUUCUGUGGGCUGAAUGUGUCAUCCAUCCAUCCACUGUGUUCAUUCUUGCACAUAACUCGAUGAAUAAUGAGUGUUAAAGUAUGUGCCAGGCCCUGUCUUAUGCCCUGGAGAUAACUGACCAAAUGAAGGUGUUUAAACUUAGUAAUGAUACUGAUAUAUGAUGCUGAUAUUAUGUAUAUAUGUAUAUAUAUAUUACACACAUAUAUG